UUGAGAGUCAUGGCGACUUAACUAGCAAGCAGACACUGAAGUCCACGCACACAGAUCAGAAGUAACACUUGGUAUAAUUCUGCUUGUGCAUAUCCACAAUGAGGCCAGUAGAGGAAGUUCAGAAAUUCUAAAAAUUGUAGUGGCUUACAACAGCAAAUGUUUAUUUGUUUUUCUCACAGAGCUGAAAGCAGCCCAGGAAAGCUCUGCUUCAGGAUACAGGGCGGGUACAGGUCAGUUCCCAGCAUCUCGCCUUCCCCUGGGACCAAUCACCACCUGGAAUGUGUUCUGCUCGGAAACAAUGACAGAAGUGUAAGCGACAGGAGAAGAACCACACAAUGUCUUUUAAGGCCUCUUCUCAGAACUGGACAUUAUCACAAACCAAGGAAUGGGGAAGGUUACCACACCCUCUGGUGAGACGUUCUGCGAGUCACACAACAAAGGCCGGAUGAAGGAGUGAAGGGAGGGUGUGAAGAAAUGGGAAUAUUCAUCUAAUCUCCCACACUAUUUCAUAUUCUAUGUUGUAAAGCAAGUUUGUAUUCCUAAUGCAUAUCAGGGCCAAA